rnacentral:rRNA from 5 species
AGACCCGAAACCCGGUGAUCUAGCCAUGGGCAGGUUGAAGGUUGGGUAACACUAACUGGAGGACCGAACCGACUAAUGUUGAAAAAUUAGCGGAUGACCUGUGGCUGGGGGUGAAAGGCCAAUCAAACCGGGAGAUAGCUGGUUCUCCCCGAAAGCUAUUUAGGUAGCGCCUCGUGAAUUCAUCUCCGGGGGUAGAGCACUGUUUCGGCUAGGGGGCCAUCCCGGCUUACCAACCCGAUGCAAACUGCGAAUACCGGAGAAUGUUAUCACGGGAGACACACGGCGGGUGCUAACGUCCGUCGUGAAGAGGGAAACAACCCAGACCGCCAGCUAAGGUCCCAAAGUCAUGGUUAAGUGGGAAACGAUGUGGGAAGGCCCAGACAGCCAGGAUGUUGGCUUAGAAGCAGCCAUCAUUUAAAGAAAGCGUAAUAGCUCACUGGUCGAGUCGGCCUGCGCGGAAGAUGUAACGGGGCUAAACCAUGCACCGAAGCUGCGGCAGCGAACGUAUCACCCAAGACAACUUUACGGAGUUGACGAUUGACGGAGCGAAGCGACGUCAAAGCGUUCAUUAAAGUCGAGUUGGCUUAGGGAUACGUUCGUUGGGUAGGGGAGCGUUCUGUAAGCCUGUGAAGGUGUGUCGUGAGGCAUGCUGGAGGUAUCAGAAGUGCGAAUGCUGACAUAAGUAACGAUAAAGCGGGUGAAAAGCCCGCUCGCCGGAAGACCAAGGGUUCCUGUCCAACGUUAAUCGGGGCAGGGUGAGUCGACCCCUAAGGCGAGGCCGAAAGGCGUAGUCGAUGGGAAACGGGUUAAUAUUCCCGUACUUGGUGUUACUGCGAAGGGGGGACGGAGAAGGCUAUGUUGGCCGGGCGACGGUUGUCCCGGUUUAAGCGUGUAGGUGUGUGUUCCAGGUAAAUCCGGUUCACUUUAACACUGAGGCGUGACGACGAGGCACUACGGUGCUGAAGCAACAAAUGCCCUGCUUCCAGGAAAAGCCUCUAAGCAUCAGGUAACAUCAAAUCGUACCCCAAACCGACACAGGUGGUCAGGUAGAGAAUACCAAGGCGCUUGAGAGAACUCGGGUGAAGGAACUAGGCAAAAUGGUGCCGUAACUUCGGGAGAAGGCACGCUGACACGUAGGUGAAGUGAUUUACUCAUGGAGCUGAAGUCAGUCGAAGAUACCAGCUGGCUGCAACUGUUUAUUAAAAACACAGCACUGUGCAAACACGAAAGUGGACGUAUACGGUGUGACGCCUGCCCGGUGCCGGAAGGUUAAUUGAUGGGGUCAGCGCAAGCGAAGCUCCUGAUCGAAGCCCCGGUAAACGGCGGCCGUAACUAUAACGGUCCUAAGGUAGCGAAAUUCCUUGUCGGGUAAGUUCCGACCUGCACGAAUGGCGUAAUGAUGGCCAGGCUGUCUCCACCCGAGACUCAGUGAAAUUGAACUCGCUGUGAAGAUGCAGUGUACCCGCGGCAAGACGGAAAGACCCCGUGAACCUUUACUAUAGCUUGACACUGAACAUUGAGCCUUGAUGUGUAGGAUAGGUGGGAGGCUUUGAAGUGUGGACGCCAGUCUGCAUGGAGCCGACCUUGAAAUACCACCCUUUAAUGUUUGAUGUUCUAACGUGGACCCGUUA